UACGUAGGUGACCAGCGUUGUCCGGAUUUACUGGGCGUAAAGAGCGCGCAGGCGGUCGUUCAAGUCGAGUGUGAAAGCCCCCGGCUCAACUGGGGAGGGUCACUCGAUACUGAUCGACUUGAAGGCAGGAGAGGGAAGCGGAAUUCCCGGUGUAGUGGUGAAAUGCGUAGAUAUCGAGAGGAACACCUGCGGCGAAGGCGGGUUGCUGGGCUGAUACUGACGCUGAGGCGCGAAAGCCAGGGGAGCGAACGGG
rnacentral:rRNA from 1 species